rnacentral:tRNA from 1 species
UCCGAUGUAGUGUAACGGCUAUCAUACUGCGCUUUCAUUGAAAGUGCCGCAGGGAUCGGGGUUCGAUUCCCCGCAUCGGAG